GACGAACGCUGGCGGCGUGCCUAAUACAUGCAAGUCGAACGCAGUGGGGACGGGUGAGUAACACGUGGGUAACCUCCCAUCAGAGGGGAUAACAAGUGGAAACAGGUGCUAAACCGAUACUGAUGGAUGGACCCGCGGUGCAUUAGCUCGUUGGUGCAGUAACGGCUCACCCAGGCCACGAUGCAUAGCCAACCUGAGAGGGUGAGAGGCCACACUGAGACGGAGACACGGCCCAGACACCUACGGGAGGCAGCAGUAGGGAAUCUUAGGCAAUGGACGAAAGUCUGCCCGAGCAACGCCGCCUGAGUGAAGAAGGUUUUCGGAUCGUAAAACUCUGUUGUUAGAGAAGCGGUAUCUAACCAGAAAGCCACGGCUAACUACGUGCCAGCAGCCGCGGUAAUUC
rnacentral:rRNA from 1 species